GAUGAACGCUGGCGGCGUGCCUAAUACAUGCAAGUCGAGCGAACAGAUGAGGAGCUUGCUCCUCUGACGUUAGCGGCGGACGGGUGAGUAACACGUGGAUAACCUACCUAUAAGACUGGGAUAACUUCGGGAAACCGGAGCUAAUACCGGAUAAUAUAUUGAACCGCAUGGUUCAAUAGUGAAAGACGGUUUUGCUGUCACUUAUAGAUGGAUCCGCGCCGCAUUAGCUAGUUGGUAAGGUAACGGCUUACCAAGGCAACGAUGCGUAGCCGACCUGAGAGGGUGAUCGGCCACACCGGAACCGAGACACGGUCCAGACUCCUACGGGAGGCAGCAGUAGGGAAUCUUCCGCAAUGGGCGAAAGCCUGACGGAGCAACGCCGCGUGAGUGAUGAAGGUCUUCGGAUCGUAAAACUCUGUUAUUAGGGAAGAACAAAUGUGUAAGUAACUAUGCACGUCUUGACGGUACCUAAUCAGAAAGCCACGGCUAACUACGUG
rnacentral:rRNA from 1 species